CCUCGAGCGCGUCCAGAUCGAUCUCCGCGGCGAUCGCGUGGAGACGCGAGUAGUCGGGGUACCCCGGCGGCGCG
rnacentral:SRP_RNA from 13 species